CAAUAGCGUAUAUUAAAGUUGUUGCAGUUAAAAAGCUCGUAGUUGGAUUUCUGGCUGGAGCGAUCGGUCCGCCCCGCAAGGGGUGUGUACUAGCGUCGUCUCCGACCAUCCUUGUGGGAACUGUGCGGCCGUUAACUCGGUUGUAUAUGGGAACACAUCGUUUACUGUGAAAAAAUUAGAGUGUUUAAAGCAGGCUUAAGCCGUUGAAUACAUUAGCAUGGAAUAAUAAUAUAGGACCUGAGUUCUAUUUUGUUGGUUUCUAGAGCUUAGGUAAUGAUUAAUAGGGACACCUGGGGGCAUUCGUAUUAACGCGUCAGAGGUGAAAUUCUUGGAUUGCGUUACGACGAACUUCGGCGAAAGCAUUUGCCAAGGAUGUUUUCAUUGAUCAAGAACGAAAGUGUGGGGAUCGAAGAUGAUCAGAUACCGU
rnacentral:rRNA from 1 species